rnacentral:lncRNA from 1 species
AAAAUGUAGUCUUCACUAGAAUUUUCUUAGUUCAUUAGUUAGAGUAGUAUAGUAUAGGUAGUGUAGUUUAUCCUUUAUGUAUUUGUAGUUAGAUUUGGAUGAAGAUUGAGGAGCAAAGAUGGAGAGAUCGAUCUCAUGUGACAAGGGUGAUAUCUCUUCUACUACUUUCUCUUUUAUAUUGGAUUUUAUGUUUAGUUAUAAUACAAGUUUGGCUUUGUGUUUUAACAUACUUAGUUAAAGUUUAUGCCUAGAGCAUCGAUAAACUUACUAUAUCUUGUUAGUGAUGUUUACUUGGUUAUUUGAUGAUAUUAUUUUGUACAAGUUA